UGUUUGUCUCUAACUUCGCUGCGUAUACGGUUUGUUUUCCUCUACGAUUAAAUGUGAAAAAGGUUCAAUACUAUCCCAGCUGGAUAUGUCUAUUGGUGAAUGAUUGUACUGAUGGUUGAUCGUAACAAGAUAAUAUGUUCCUCAAUGCCAUCGCAGCUUUGAGUCAAUUAUUACGCAGCAAUUCAAGUAUCACUAGAGCGAUAGUAGGGUGCAUCAGACAACUUUACUUCAAGCAGAAAAUCGAAGAAUGAGCGGAACACGAGUUUUUCACCACAAACUUUUAUUCCAUCACCCACUCCCAGCCUAUCCCCAAACAAUUGGCUCGAUCCAGUCGAGAUAGGCAGCGACCCUGGUAUAGAUAGCCGGCACCGUCGAACCGCACGUCUGACCAAACGACGUUAUCCCGAUGAGGUAGAACACGCAGUGAUUCUCCUGUUUGGUAAUCUGAAGCGGACCUCCCGAAUCACCCUGACAGGUAUCCUUGCCUCCCUGGGCAUUGCCGGCACACAUCUGAGUUUGCAUGAUGCCCUUCUUAAGUUGCCGACUGUUGACGUACCCGCGGCCGCAAACCUCAUUGUCGUAGAUGUUCAGCGAGACCUUCAGCAGUUCGUCCGAUUUAUCGCCAUCUAGCGGGAAGGUACACAAAUCACCAUAAUGGUCUACGAUUUACAAAAUAAAAACUUACGAUCCUCGGUCAGUCCGAAA